AGAAUCAACGCUGGCGGCGUGCCUCAGACAUGCAAGUCGAACGCGAAAGUUCCCUUCGGGGAACAAGUAGAGUGGCGCACGGGUGAGUAACACGUAGGUAAUCUACCUUCGGAUGGGGAAUAACAAUCGGAAACGGUUGCUAAUACCGCAUAAUGCAGCGGCACCUAAUGGUGACAGUUGUUAAAGCGAGGGAUCGAAAGACCUCGCGUCUGAAGAGGAGCCUGCGGCGGAUUAGCUAGUUGGUAAGGUAAUGGCUUACCAAGGCUACGAUCCGUAACCGGCCUGAGAGGGCGGUCGGUCACACUGACACUGACAUACGGGUCAGACUCCGUACGGGAGGCAGCAGUCGGGAAUUUUGGGCAAGUGGGACGAAGCCUGACCCAGCAACGCCGCGUGAAGGAUAGAAAUCCCUCGGAUGUAAACGUUCGAC
rnacentral:rRNA from 1 species